AUUGAACGCUAGCGGGAUGCUUUACACAUGCAAGUCGAACGAGUGGCGGACGGGUGAGUAAUAUAUCGGAACGUGCCCAGUAGCGGGGGAUAACUACUCGAAAGAGUGGCUAAUACCGCAUACUAUGGGAGCGGCCGAUAUCGGAUUAGCUAGUUGGGGGGGUAAAGGCUCACCAAGGCAACGAUCCGUAGCUGGUUUGAGAGGCCGACCGUCAACAUGGGGACUGAGACACGGCCCAGACUCCUAGGGGAGGCAGCAGUGGGGAAUUUGGGACAAUGGGGGAAACCCUGAUCAAGCAAUCCCGCGGGUAUGAGAAGGCCUUCGGGUUGUAAAGUACUUUUGGUAGAGAAGCGGUAUCUGCAGAAUAAGCACCGGCUAACUACGUGCCAGCAGCCGCGGUAAUUC
rnacentral:rRNA from 1 species